UUUUGUCAUCCAUCCCCCUAUAUAGAUCUCAAAACGCUAUAUCCUCUAUCAUAUAUAUGCUUGCACGGUCUUAAAGCGCCCCAUCCUUUAUCAUUCAUCUGUCUGCAUGGAUCUAAAAGCACUCCAUCAUCUGAUAUUCAUCUGAUUGUUUAGAUUCCAAAGUGAUCCAUCCUCUAUUAUCCAUAUACCUGCACAAAUCUUAAAAUGCUUUAUCCUUUAUUAUCCAUCCACCUGCAUAGAUCACGAAACAUUCAAUUCUUUGCCAUCCAUCGACCUACAUAGAUAUCUAAGUGCUCCAUCCUCUAUCAUUCGUCCGCCUACAAGAUCUCAAAGUGCUAUAUUUUUUAUCAUCCAUCCGCUUGCAUAAAUUUGAUAGCACUUUCUUUCUAUCAUCCAUACACAUACACAUAUCUUAUAGCAUUCCAUUCUCUACCAUCCAUCCAUAUACACAGAUCUUAUUGCACUUACCCUCAAUCAUCCUUACACGUACACAAUCUCCAUCUUUUAUCAUCCAUCCAAUUACACAAAUCUAAA
rnacentral:lncRNA from 1 species